rnacentral:rRNA from 1 species
AACGAACGCUGGCGGCAUGCCUAACACAUGCAAGUCGAACGAGACCUUCGGGUCUAGUGGCGCACGGGUGCGUAACGCGUGGGAAUCUACCCUUGGGUUCGGAAUAACAGUUAGAAAUGACUGCUAAUACCGGAUGAUGACGUAAGUCCAGAGAUUUAUCGCCCAAGGAUGAGCCCGCGUAAGAUUAGCUUGUUGGUGGGGUAAUGGCCUACCAAGGCGACGAUCUUUAGCUGGUCUGAGAGGAUGAUCAGCCACACUGGGACUGAGACACGGCCCAGACUCCUACGGGAGGCAGCAGUGGGGAAUAUUGGACAAUGGGCGAAAGCCUGAUCCAGCAAUGCCGCGUGAGUGAUGAAGGCCUUAGGGUUGUAAAGCUCUUUUACCAGGGAUGAUAAUGACAGUACCUGGAGAAUAAGCUCCGGCUAACUACGUGCCAGCCGCCGCGGUAA